CCUUAGUUACCAGCACGUUAUGGUGGGCACUCUAAGGAGACUGCCGGUGACAAACCGGAGGAAGUGGGGAUGACGUCAAGUCAUCAUGGCCCUUACGGCCUGGGCUACACACGUGCUACAAUGGUCGGUACAAAGGGUUGCCAAGCCGCGAGGUGGAGCUAAUCCCAUAAAACCGAUCGUAGUCCGGAUCGCAGUCUGCAACUCGACUGCGUGAAGUCGGAAUCGCUAGUAAUCGUGAAUCAGAAUGUCACGGUGAAUACGUUCCCGGGCCUU
rnacentral:rRNA from 1 species